AUCAAAAUAUAAUUAUACAAAAUAUACAAACAAAGCAAGCAAGCUAACCAAAGUGUUGAACUACAUACAUUAGGAAAUUAGCUGUAAGUUUCAGUCAGAUCAGCCGACAUGUUUAUCAUUUCUUCUUAAGACAAUUUGAAAUGAAACAAAUGACAAACGACAAUGACCCUUUGUCGUAAUUUUAUUUUUAUUAUGAGAUUUUGUCAAACAAGCAGUAUAAAUAAAUUUAACUUCAUUGUAAGAUUGGACAUUAUUUUACGAGAAUCAUCCAGAUAUCAGUUACAUGCAUACGUUGCAAGUAUGUCAAAACUUCUAAGAAUAAUUUUUUAUCGGCCUGACCUUCUGAAUACUCAAUUUUUGAAAGUUUUGAAAAAAAGACAUUAAAAAAAGAAGGAUCAAAUCAUACGCAACAUGCGUACUAAGUUUUAAGUUUUAAGGACUUCAACUUCAUCAAAAACUACCUUGACCAAAAACUUUAACCUGAAGCUGGACGUACGGACGAACGAACGGACAAACGGACGCACAGACCAGAAAACAUAAAUUGGACAUAAAAAUAACUCUCACCAUUCUAUAACCCCGGUAACCUGUACACAAUCGGCGCGAAUGAAAGACAAAAUCUACACAAGUGAAAGAAUAAAAACAAAUGAAAUGCAGAUUGGCGCAAAUAUAAGACAAAAUCUAUACGCAUGUGAAAGAAUAAAAAAAAUGAGAUGCCGAUCGGCGCAAAAAAAAUCGUGAUCAAAAUUCAUAUUUUAUUAUUUUUAUUAGAACGAAGGUUAAAUAUAGUGUAGUAUCUUUUGUGUCCAUUUGUGUUAAAUUGCCACAAGAUAUCAGCGCAACGCUUAAUUCCUAUUUUCUUGGGAGACGUAUUUUUAAGCGUACACCAUGUUGGAAUUCGUGAAAACGCGAAAUAGGACGUUAUAAUUUGACGUUUUUUCAUUGCUAGAUACAACGUCAUAGAGCUUUUAUGUCACAACCAAGUUGCGUUAGUUGAUGCGCAUAAACAAUAGGCUGUUUGGUCUUUAA
rnacentral:lncRNA from 1 species